AGCACAGGACACAGCUAGGUUCUGAAGCUUCUGAGUUCUGCAGCCUCACCUCUGAGAAAACCUCUUUGCCACCAAUACCAUGAAGCUCUGCGUGACUGUCCUGUCUCUCCUCGUGCUAGUAGCUGCCUUCUGCUCUCUAGCACUCUCAGCACCAAAGGCAAGCAAGUCUGCGCUGACCCCAGUGAGUCCUGGGUCCAGGAGUACGUGUAUGACCUGGAACUGAACUGAGCUGCUCAGAGACAGGAAGUCUUCAGGGAAGGUCACCUGAGCCUGGAUGCUUCUCCAUGAGCCGCAUCUCCUCCAUACUCAGGACUCCUCUCCGCAGUUCCUGUCUCUUCUCUUAAUGUAAUCUCUUUUAUGUGCUGUAUUAUUGUAUUAGGUGUUAUUUCCAUUAUUUAUAUUAGUUUAGCCAAAGGAUAAGUGUCCCCUAUGGGGAUGGUCCACUCUCACUCUUUCUCUGCUGUUGCAAAUACAUGGAUAACACCGUUAAUUCCAUGUGUUUUCAUAAUAAAACUUUAAAAUAAAAUGCAAACAGUU
rnacentral:lncRNA from 1 species